GGACUACCCGGGUAUCUAAUCCUGUUCGCUCCCCACGCUUUCGCUCCUCAGCGUCAGUACCGGCCCAGACCACCGCCUUCGCCACUGGUGUUCCUCCUGAUAUCUGCGCAUUUCACCGCUACACCAGGAAUUCCAUGGUCCCCUACCGGACUCUAGCCAUAGCAGUAUCGACUGGCGUCUCCAGGUUAAGCCUGGAGGUUUCACAAUCGACUUGCUAAACCGCCUACGAGCUCUUUACGCCCAAUAAAUCCGGACAACGCUCGCCCCCUACGUAUUACCGCGGCUGCUGGCAC
rnacentral:rRNA from 1 species